ensembl:lncRNA
GGCGGGAGGAGGGCUAAUCAAGCCUCCUGAUUGUAAUUGUCCGAAGGUGCCGGCCUCCUCGUGAACACGCAGACCGCACGGCCUGCCUCUGCGGCUCCGCGGGGCUUCUCCCUGCUGGGGCCUUGCUGGCUAAUGUUCUUUCGGCAUAACUCUAUUUAAAUUCACAUUUCCAUCAUCCCCCAGAGGAGCCGGCGAGAGAGCUGAGCUGCGUGGUAUAAGCCAGCAAAGGAUUAGAUGGGGUGAGACCACCUCCCUUGAAGCUGAAGCCCCCCAGAAGCCCCCCAGAGGCCCGCCCCUCCCCGGGUGCUGACUGAGCAAGCUCCUGUCAUGAGUCACCUUUCUCCAGAGCACAGCUGGGGCUUCGUUUGCUCCACCGGAGGCCCCCAGGGGCUGGCAGAGGCCAUGGCCUCCAGCAUGCGGAGGAGGGAGCGGCUUGGGUGCUGCGGAGGGGGCUGCAGCCCAGCCUGGAGGUCCCCCCCGCCAAGAGGCCCUACGGGUUCUGUGUGCGAUGACCUCCUCCAGGCAGCCAGGCAUGGCCCUGGGUUGCCUGGUAUCCCUGGGACCCACAGCUCAGCAGCUCAGAACGGCUCUUCACCUCCGAGGCUCCUCCUCUGAGACCGGUGGGCGAGGGGGAGCUUUGGCUUCUAACCCACCAGGAUGUGCUGGGUCCUCUCCUCCAGGGUGAGGACGGUCCAUCCUUGGGUCAGGGGGAUCGGUGGCAGGGUAGCCUCCUGCGUGGAUCCCAAGGCUCUGGGCUGCUACCACUCGCCCUAGCGUGAGCCCUCUCCUACAAGCCUACGGACCAAUAUGUUGUCCCAUUCCACGGCCUGUGCUGAGUCCCGACCCAGGCUCAGAGAGGUUGAGACAUCCACCUAUGAUUGCACAGCCAGGAGGUGCCCUCAUCGUACCUUGGGCUGCCUCCAUUUAGGUGAGGCCUCAGACCAAAGUGGGAAGAAGGCGGGUGGCCUGAGGCCAGGAUGGGCUCUGCUGACCACCUGGCUGGGGACCCUGGGCCCAGACACUGAAGAGGGAUCUCCAGCUUUUAGAAUCUUCCGACUGCUGAAUCUGAGGACCAGAGGCUCUUAGAAUCAUGAAAUCAUGGGCCUCCCAGGAUGUUUGGGAUAAUAUUUAAAAAAAAAAAAAAGAAAAGUGAGAGAUAGCAAAUGGCAAAGGAAUUUGGUAAUUCUUCCCAAAUGUGAGCACGGCUGAUUCCUUUGUGCCUCUUGGCGGGUGGGUGCGGGGUGUCUGGGAGGGGGUUGGAACACAGAGGGGGCUGCUGGAGAGGCUGCUAGGACACCUGCUGCUUCCUGAGCCGGAACCAGAGACCGACACCCACUCCAGAUGUCGCCCAGCCCCCCACCCACUCCCACCUUCUCCUGCUAACUCC